CAUCUACUCUGUGAAUCCUCACCUCAGCCCUGUCAGUAGGGUUUCAACACCUGUUUUACAGAUGAGAAAACUGAGGCACAGGAGACAGCGCCUCACUGUGUUACCUAGGCUGCGCUAAGAGCCUGGGCUCAAGCAGUCCUCCUGCCUCACCCUCCUGAGUGGCUGUGACUACGGACAGGCAUGUGUGAGCCCAGGAGACCUGCUGGAGAGUUUGCUCCUCCUAGAGAAACGGUGCAGAAGUCAUUAAAACCACACAACCACCGCAGGUCACCUCGCGCAGCCUUCAAGGAAUGUGCCACGUUCAGAUGGGGCUCUGAAAGGAGGAAACCAGGACCACAUUUUCCUACAAGACACCGAAAGGAUUGUGAUUACUCAGAACUCCCUCUCGACAUUCUUGUGAACUUUUAAGAAAUUCCUGGUGCCUUCUGUUCCU